GUGGUUAUAGCAUACAUCAUGUUCGCACCCACUACUACCAAAUCGUGGACACGGAUUACGACACAUGGGCGAUCGAGCACAUCUGUUCCGAACGCGGAAGUAACUUCGUGCUUUUACUGUCGAGGAAGAUGAAAGACGUUCCCAACGACGUGAUGUGGAAAGUCCGGCGGUCGAUACGAAAAGCGGGAGUCAUAAAGGGCUCCACUUGGUUUGCAAGUGGUUGCCUCACCGGAAAAGGCAGUGAGGAUUUUAUCAAUAAUCUAUCGCUUGUGCGGGGGCCCCUGUGAA